GGGGGCGUAGCUCAGUUGGUAGAGCACAUGGUUUGCAACCAUGGGGUCGAGGGUUCGAGUCCCUUCGCCUCCACCA
rnacentral:tRNA from 1 species